rnacentral:rRNA from 1 species
UACGGAGGGUGCAAGCGUUAUCCGGAUUCACUGGGUUUUAAAGGGUGCGUAGGUGGGCAGGUAAGUCAGCGGUGAAAUCCCCGAGCUUAACUUGGGAACUGCCAUUGAUACUAUCUGUCUUGAAUACCUUGGAGGUGAGCGGAAUAUGUCAUGUAGCGGUGAAAUGCUUAGAUAUGACAUAGAACACCAAUUGCGAAGGCAGCUCACUACACGGUCAUUGACACUGAGGCACGAAGCGUGGGGAUCAAACAGGAAUAGAUACCGGACGUAAGUC